AGUGGAAACGCGACUGGCCCUGGCACGCACUAGCACGCCGGUCUUAGCUCGGUAGUGGAAACACGGCUAUUCUGACCAAUUUGUUACACUUGAACUUGAAGAUGACCAAGCACUCUGGCCAAAACAUCUCACUGACAAAGAACGCUGCUUAAUAGUGCAGAGAGGCCCUGUUCAGAGCAAGGAUAGAAUUUAUCCUUUUUAUUUUUCUUCUUUUUUUCUUACAGAUACAACUCCAGAUGUCUAUACAUCAUUGCUGUGUGAAGACUGCUGAAGAGAAGUAACAAAUUCGAGGUAAAUGUAGCAGCAGGGUAGAAAAGUCAGCAGAGAGAGAGGAUGAGCAGGUGAUCAGUGAGGAACAGGGAGAAGACAACAGACAGCAGCUCUUUCAGACAAACGGAUGAUUCAGAUCCAAUGUGAAAGUAGCAGCAGAUGAAACCAAUCAAAAGAAGGACAGGAAGAACAUCUGAUCAGUGAGGGACAGGGUGAGGACAAUAGUCAAACAGCAGUUUCAGAUGAGCAGAAUGAACCUAAUGUUAGAGACAAACUGAGCACAGAAAACAGAGACAGAGAAGAUUCAGAAAUCAUCACUUGCUUAAAUCCUGCACAUCCUGAUCCCAAGUUUAUAAAAGUACAGACGAGAGCAAACUAUGUGCUACACUUUCAGCAAAAAUGGUUUCAGAUGUUCCCAUGAAUGCAUUACAGUACCACAUUAAAAGGGGUUUUAUGCUUUUAUUGUGCAAAAAUCCUCUCAAAGAAGACAAUGCUUGUCUCUAAGAUGGACCCUGUCUUUGUGAGUACUGGUUUUAGAAACUGGAAAAAGGCAGUUGAAAAGUUUACAGCCCAUGCUAAAAGCCAAUCCCACUGCCAUGCGACAACUGUGUAUGCUCAGGAAACUGCCAUUCCUUGUGUUCAGUCUGUCUUGAAAGACAAAAGAGAUGAAGAUGCCUUUCAAAGUCUUUUUGAGCAAGCAAAUGUGAUUGUGGAUUCUCUAAAUCUAGAGUCUAUCAAAGUUCCAGAACCAAGGCGACUUCCUAAGCGUUUUAGCACAGAUGCAAGCACAUACAAGCCAAAAACUGCAACAGAGUAUUACAGAGUUGAGUUUUAUCAGGUGCUUGAUGUGGUUUUCAUCAGGAAGAUCUGCUGACCUUACAGAAACUAGAGGACACUCUGCUCACUGGACAAACUGAUUCAGUGUGUUGUGAGUAUCCUGAGAUCAGUUCAGUUACCAAUGUUUAGGCAUAACUACCAAUUUGGAUCCAGUUUGGAGGCAGCAAACAUUCUUAAAGGUUUGUCAGUGGAAGUCCGUGGCCUUUUCAGUGAAGUGGAAACUCUGGUCAGGUUGCUUCUGGUUGUGUGUCAGGAAUCA